rnacentral:rRNA from 1 species
GACGAACGCUGGCGGCGUGCUUAACACAUGCAAGUCGAACGGAAAGGCCCUGCUUUUGUGGGGUGCUCGAGUGGCGAACGGGUGAGUAACACGUGAGUAACAUCCCCUUGACUUUGGGAUAACUUCAGGAGACUGCGGAGAAUACCGGGGAGGAUCUCCUGCUGCGUGGGGGGGGAUGGAGAGUUUCGGCGGUGGGGGAUGGUCUCGCUGGUUAUGCGCUGGUUGGUGGGGUAGUUGCGUACCAAGGCUUUGAGGGGUAGCCGGCCUGAGAGGGUGACCGGCGACAUGGGGACUGAGAUACGGAGCAGACUGCUACGGGAGGCAGCAGGGGGGAAUCUUGCACAAUGGGCGGAAGCCUGAUGCAGCAGCGCCGCGUGCGGGAUGACGGCCUUCGGGUUGUAAACAGCUUUGGACUGUGACGAAGAGUGAGUGACGGUAAUGGGUAAAGAAGCACCGGCUAACUACGUG